UUUUUUUUUUUUUAAUUUGUAUUGUUAUUAGAAGCAAUUGUAAAAGAAGGAAGAUAGGAUGUGUUUUCCAAAAUUUGAUGUAGGCAUACAAUUUAGUGAUUAAUGGUGGGAAGUUUAUUUUAAACAAAGA